rnacentral:rRNA from 1 species
ACCUACGGGAGGCAGCAGUGAGGAAUAUUGGUCAAUGGACGAGAGUCUGAACCAGCCAAGUCGCGUGAAGGAUGACUGCCCUAUGGGUUGUAAACUUCUUUUAUAUGGGAAUAAAAUGUUCCACGUGUGGGAUUUUGUAUGUACCAUAUGGAUAAGGAUCGGCUAACUCCGUGCCAGCAGCCGCGGUAAUACGGAGGAUCCGAGCGUUAUCCGGAUUUAUUGGGUUUAAAGGGAGCGUAGGUGGAUUGUUAAGUCAGUUGUGAAAGUUUGCGGCUCAACCGUAAAAUUGCAGUUGAAACUGGCAG